rnacentral:ncRNA from 1 species
GACCUGCACGAAAGGUGUAACGACUUGGAUGCUGUCUUGGAAAAAGAUUCGGCGAAAUAGAAAUGUCUGUGAAGAUACGGACUAUUUACACCUGGACAGAAAGACCCUAUGAAGCUUUACUAUAUUUUGAAAUUAAAAAUAAAAUAUAUUUGUGUAGAAUAAGUGGGAAAUAAUUAUUUUAUUUAUCUUGAAAUACCACUCUUAUUUAUUUUAUUUUUUUAUUAUAAUAUUGUUAACCAAUUAUAAAAAAAUUUUAAAAAGGUAGUUUGACUGGGGCGGUAGCCUCCUAAAAGGCAACGGAGGUGUACAAAGGUCUUUUUUUAAUUUAAAUAUUUACUUUAAAAUUAAAUCUAUAAAGGGAUAAAAAGGCUUGAUUGUAAGAGUUACUACUCGAGCAAGGACGAAAGUCGGUCUUAAUGAUCCGAUAGUUCUUUGUGGAAAGGCUGUCGCUUAACGAAUAAAAGUUACUCUAGGGAUAACAGGCUGAUCUCCCCCGAAAGUUCCUAUUGACGGGGAGGGUUGGCACCUCGAUGUCGGCUCGUCGCAUCCUGAGGCUGAAGUAGGUCUCAAGGGUUGGUCUGUUCGCCCAUUAAAGCGGCACGUGAGCUGGGUUCAGAACGUCGUGAGACAGUUCGGUCCAUAUCCGGUGUAUACAUAAGAACAUUGAAGAGUUUUUCUUUUAGUACGAGAGGACCAAAGAGAUUAAACCUAUGGUGUAUUAGUUAUUUUACUAAAAAUAAUCGCUAAGUAGCCAAGUUUAAAUAAAUAUUAAUCACUGACAACAUAUAAGUGAGAAAAAUACUUUAAGAUAAAUGUUCUUAUCUAACUAAAUAAAUAGAAUAAGAAAACAAAAAGAUAAUUUGAUAAAAAGAAAAAGUGUAUACAAUUAGUAAUAAUUUUAGCAUUUUUUGACUAAAAGUUCGAAAAAAAUAUAUUU